AGUAUCUAAUUUAUUGUCAGAACAUGGCUCACUGGGAUCUGGGGCCUACAGAUCAGUAGGUGAAUGGCUAGAAGCAAUCAAAAUGGGCCGAUAUACAGAGAUUUUCAUGGAAAAUGGAUACAGUUCAAUGGACGCUGUGGCUCAGGUGACCUUGGAGGAUUUAAGACGGCUUGGAGUGACUCUUGUUGGUCACCAGAAGAAGAUUAUGAACAGCCUUCAAGAAAUGAAGGUGCAGCUGGUCAACGGGAUGGUGCCAUUGUAACUUCAGUUUAUUGUCACUUCGUCAAGUGA
rnacentral:lncRNA from 1 species